rnacentral:rRNA from 1 species
GAUGAACGCUGGCGGCGUGCCUAAUACAUGCAAGUCGAGCGAACGGACGAGAAGCUUGCUUCUCUGAUGUUAGCGGCGGACGGGUGAGUAACACGUGGAUAACCUACCUAUAAGACUGGGAUAACUUCGGGAAACCGGAGCUCAUACCGGAUAAUAUUUUGAACCGCAUGGUUCAAAAGUGAAAGACGGUCUUGCUGUCACUUAUAGAUGGAUCCGCGCUGCAUUAGCUAGUUGGUAAGGUAACGGCUUACCAAGGCAACGAUGCAUAGCCGACCUGAGAGGGUGAUCGGCCACACUGGAACUGAGACACGGUCCAGAGUCCUACGGGAGGCAGCAGUAGGGAAUCUUCCGCAAUGGGCGAAAGCCUGACGGAGCAACGCCGCGUGAGUGAUGAAGGUCUUCGUAUCGUAAAACUCUGUUAUUAGGGAAGAACAUAUGUGUAAGUAACUGUGCACAUCUUGACGGUACCUAAUCAGAAAGCCACGGCUAACUACGUG